rnacentral:rRNA from 1 species
ACGUAGGGUGCGAGCGUUAAUCGGAAUUACUGGGCGUAAAGCGUGCGCAGGCGGUUCGUUAAGUUCGUUGUGAAAGCCCCGGGCUCAACCUGGGAAUGGCAAUGGAAACUGGCGGGCUGGAGUAUGGCAGAGGGGGGUGGAAUUCCGCGUGUAGCAGUGAAAUGCGUAGAGAUGCGGAGGAACACCGAUGGCGAAGGCAGCCCCCUGGGCCAAUACUGACGCUCAGGCACGAAAGCGUGGGGAGCAAACAGGAUUAGAUACCCUGGUAGUCCACGCCCUAAACGAUGCUCACUAGGUGUUGGGGAAGCGAUUCCUUGGUACCGAAGCUAACGCGUGAAGUGAGCCGCCUGGGGAGUACGGCCGCAAGGUUA